UGGGGAAUAUUGCACAAUGGGCGCAAGCCUGAUGCUGCCAUGCCGCGUGUAUGAAGAAGGCCUUCGGGUUGUAAAGUACUUUCAGCGAGGAGGCAGGCGGUAAGGUUAAUAACCUUAUCGCUUGACGUUACUCGCAGAAGAAGCACCGGCUAACUCCGUGCCAGCAGCCGCGGUAAUACGGAGGGUGCAAGCGUUAAUCGGAAUUACUGGGCGUAAAGCGCACGCAGGCGGUCUGUCAAGUCGGAUGUGAAAUCCCCGGGCUCAACCUGGGAACUGCAUUCGAAACUGGCAGGCUAGAGUCUUGUAGAGGGGGGUAGAAUUCCAGGUGUAGCGGUGAAAUGCGUAGAGAUCUGGAGGAAUACCGGUGGCGAAGGCGGCCCCCUGGACAAAGACUGACGCUCAGGUGCGAAAGCGUGGGGAGCAAACA
rnacentral:rRNA from 1 species